UGAGAACAGGAGACAGCGUCUCUCUUGUGCUUGCCCCGUGGCCGGCGCUAGCUCCGAUCCUUCGCCCCGGUUCGGCCUCUCCCGGCGCCUCGGGUCAUGCCCACGAGACCACGAGCUACGCGCCGCAGACGGCAGGGUUCCGGAGCCAAUGUAUGCUGCUGAGGCGGCAGGACUCUAGCAGCUCUCCUAUCUCAUACCCUAUUCCAAACAACACUCUGUAAAAAGUGUAAUGUGACGCCCGACGCGCCUGGAUGCCGAAUCGCCUGGAUCGAGACGAGUCUGGGAUGAGCACGGCGGCGCCUCCUCCUGGCCAGCGGUGAGCGUCCGUGCUGUGAGGAAGACGUCGGCAACAUGAUGAAGGCAUGACGCUCAACAGGAGACUCAAAGAUAAGUCUGGUUUGUGUUGGUAUUAUUUCAUUUCCUCUCCUCUUCUGAUAGUGUUUUAUACGCUCCUAAUCUGGGCCUAAGUACCAGAUCUAUUACAAAGCUGUUAACCCUAAUCUGGGCCAGCCCACAAUCACCAUGUAAAAUCGCUAAGAAUUCAAACCAAUCCAAGUACACAAAUGAAACAAAGCUCAUUACUACUAUUUCCUACUGAUGCACACCCUGAUCCAUGACAUGUAAUGACAGGCCAAGGGCCUGCUUGAAUGCGCUGCACCUAUUAGCGCCUGGCGCGGUAGCAAUUAGUUAAUUACUAGCCACACAUUGCUUCCAUUUGCUCCUCCGUGGCUGCUGAUUGCAGAAGCACACUUUUGCAGUUCCAUGCGGACUGUCCUUGUUGUCAUAUCAUAUCCCAAUUGACGAUCUAAUAUUACAUAGAACGCCGUUAUGAACCCUAGAGAACUUCAGCUUUUGUGUAGCGGGACUGCAAACAACAUAUGUUUUGCCACCGCUACCAAUUCCUUAUGCUUUACAUUCGAUCCCUAACUCUGCGCAUGCAACUUUGUAACUUACAGUCACACGAUGGCAAAACAGCAUCAUCUGCAUCCAUGCAUGGGUCGUUCGUCGUCGUCACUGCCUCUCCUGCUGGUUCCACUCGAGUAUUGCCGAACGAAGGGCCCUGUUCGGCACGAGAAGGCUGCGCUCGAGGUCGAGAUUCGUCAUGGGUGAUGUGCUAUGCCCGCUGUCAAGCCAGCCCCUAAUAGCUUCACCCUCAUAAGUGAAUCCAUCCGCUGCAACAGAUACUGGCUGCCCCAUCAUUUGGUGGACAACUGGAAUCAGAGUUCUGCGUCUGCGAUCUGCCUGAGUCAACAGUGAAGUCCUCUAAACUCCGUAGUCUCCUUGGCUUGCCUUUGAAAGUGGACUCAACAUCUUCAAAUGAUUGAAGCAGUGUAUCACCAGCAUUUUCAUAUAGAGAGCAAGGAACGUGGACAUGAGCAAUGGCAAUCCGGGAGCUGGAGGCGUCCCUGGCCAAGUUGUGCAGCGCCCACAGCAAGUUGCUCUUGCCGUGCUUGAGUUCUUCGGGGACAGCAACGAAAAUCUUGUCGUCGACAGCCAAAGGCGGGCUCUCCGCGGCCUCCCUGGUGUUGCUCACCGCCGUUCUUAAGGAAAGAACGAAAGAUUGCAGUCACGCGGCGCGCAGCAUGGAUUGUAAUGCUGCCCUCCAGGACCCGGAAUUAAAAUGCGAAAGACCCGAACGUUACAAACGAAGGCGAGGUUGUAGCAUCAUUUAAAAAAACCCGCUGUCGGAAGAAAUCACUUUGGUAUCUUCGUGAAUCGGGACCGGAUAUUCAUGGCAUUUGGUAGACUUUUCUGGCUGCGAGGUGAAAUUACUGGAGA